AACGAACGCUGGCGGCAUGCCUAACACAUGCAAGUCGAACGCCCCGCAAGGGGAGUGGCGCACGGGUGAGUAACGCGUGGGAACAUGCCCUGAAGUACGGAACAACCUGGGGAAACCUUGGCUAAUACCGUAUACGCCCUGAGGGGGAAAGAUUUAUCGCUUUGGGAUUGGCCCGCGUUGGAUUAGCUGGUUGGUGUGGUAACGGCGCACCAAGGCGACGAUCCAUAACUGGUCUGAGAGGAUGACCAGUCACACUGGGACUGAGACACGGCCCAGACUCCUACGGGAGGCAGCAGUGGGGAAUAUUGGACAAUGGGCGAAAGCCUGAUCCAGCCAUGCCGCGUGAGUGAAGAAGGCCUUCGGGUUGUAAAGCUCUUUCAGCGGGGACGAUGAUGACGGUACCCGCAGAAGAAGCCCCGGCUAACUUCGUGCCAGCAGCCGCCGUAA
rnacentral:rRNA from 1 species